rnacentral:lncRNA from 1 species
CCCGCCCACGGCUCGGCCUCCCUCCCGCCUGGCUCGGCGCUCCUCCGCCCCGAGUUCUCCAUCCCCUGGAUCCCGGGCUCGCGGGGGCGCGGAGAAGAGGAUCCAGGAAAGGGGCAAACAUGGGACCCAGGCCUGGCCCACUGGACCAUCCCUUGGCCACGAUGAUUGGCUUAGGGGAGGUCAUGUGAUCCAACUUAAGCCAGUGAAACUCAGCUCUGGAGCUUCUGUUGAAACUAUAGCUGAAAGACCAGCUUGUCAGUCCUGGUAGCCGUUUUUGCCAUAUUUGCUAUCCUGAGAGGGGAAUUUGCAUGAGAAUGAAGUUGUUCCAGAAGAAAGCAUACAUGAGAGAUGGAGAAGUUGAGAAAUCUGCCCCUGCAUAAUUCAGUUAAGAGAGGGCCAUUGGCAAGGAACUGAGGUGGCCUUCGAUCAACAGCCCACAAGGAAUGGAAUCCUGCCAAUAACAAUCAAAUGGUCCGAGGCAUCCAAGCAUGGCCUAUUGCCUGUGUCUUUAUUCUGAACAGAACAGGGCAGCCUUGGGAAAAUGCUGGCUGCUCAGCUAGCUCACUUAAAAAAAAUCACGUAAGCACUCCCUCUGCUCCUCUUAUUGGUGUUCAAGGCUUGAAGAGAGCUUUAGGGAAGGGUGUCUAAUGGAUCACAUGACUGUACCUACUGGUCCUUUUCCUGCCUUGUUAAUUACAAGGUGUUAUGAUCUUCACCACAGAUUGAUUACAUAAAGGGGAUCAUUUCUUCAUCCCCACCAUUUGCCAUGUAACUUUGUCAUGCCCUGUAUCUCUGACUCUGGCCUCUGUCAUUGACUUGCUGUGCCAAUGUUAGCAAAUGUGAAGCACACACAGGCUUGAAUAGCACUGUGCAACGGGACUUGUUAACACUUACCUUCUACUGUUGCUACAUGAACAUGCCCAGGCUAGCCUGAUGGAUGAUGAGAGACAUGUGGAAUAGAGCAGAGUCACCACAUUCAUCUCAGCUGAGACCUUUCUAGAUGGGUCAACAGCCCUCUACCCCCAGACGUGUGAGCCAGCCCAGCCAAGAUCAGCCAAGUCCAACCUGAAUAAUUGAACACUGAGGUCUUGUUGCAGAAUAAAAGUGUAUUAUUGUAACCCA